CACAACACGCAUGCGCCCGUCUCUAGGAGCUCUGUAUAUAAGGGCGGUUGGGCGAGCCGCGCGUCCCUCUUGCUUCUUGUCGAUGCCCAGAGCGGUUAAAUUUGCACUGAAUGGUUUUGAGAGGUUGCUUGCACUGGAGCACCAUCUUCAGAUAUGUGUCAAGAUUUGUCUGCCCAGCUUGCUCUGGAUCAAACAUGUCACUGCUUCAAUGAAAUGGAAGGUGUAGCUCCAAGCAAACCAGGUAUGUUUCAGGAUGAGGCAACCUGAUUGAAAUGAGCGGUUCUUUCAACGCAAAGUAAAAGCCACGGUGCCAUGUAGAAACAAGGAACCACCUAUGCUGGUUUACGAAAGACAGUGCUGGAGUAGCUCUGGGUCGGGCAGCAUCUCUGGAGAACCUGGAUAGAUGAUGUUUUGGGUUGGCACCCUUCAGACAAGGUUUACAGCAACAACUGAUUACAAUGCUGUAGAUUCGGUGCUGGAAUUCGGAAUUUAAAAAUAUGAAGCAACUAGUCAGCAGACCAGGGGGCAUCUUGGAGAGGAGCAGUGAUGCAUUUUCAUUGUGACUGAACAUAACUGAUACCAACUGCACUGAUAUUGACAAUCCAGGAGUCACUAUUAUUGAUGCAAUCUUGAUGUUGUGAACCAGUUGCUGAGAUGCAUUGACUUGUUUGGCAGUGUUCAAACACAUCUAUAUGCUUGAGAAGGUACACAAAAAAGCUGGAGAAACUCAGCGGGUGCAGCAGCAUCUAUGGAGAUGUAUGCUUGAGAAAUUCAACUGAUGUGAAAAAGUCAUCCUAAGUAAAAAAGAACUCUGCUAUUCAAUCUACAGCACCUGCCAAGAUUAAUGAAGACAGCUCUAACUCAACGUUUCUCAACAUUUUUACCCUUGUGGAACCCUUGAAAUAAUUUUCGCGUUUGCUCGCUGAAUUUCAUCAAAAGUAAGUCAAUAAUGCCUUACUUUUGAUGAAAUUCAGCGAGCAAAGGAGCAUAAUUCCCGAUAUUUUGGACCUUUAAAUCUCCACGGCAAAUGUCCGCUGUUCACUUCCGCUGGAUUGGCACCUUCAGCUCCCUCUUUAAUUUACCGUAGUUUCUAUCUUUUUUUUAACUGUAAAUCUAGGUAGCUGUGCCUCACGGUCACCCCGACUGGCACAAUAAAUUGCGGAUCAAACCCUGGCCGUUUUCUAUGUUUUUAACGGGUGGGAAAGUGCGUGUUUUCCCAUCCACUAACAUGUACCGGAUGUCUAGCAUGUCCUCCACUUGAGAUUUUCGGUCACGUGGGUGCGGGUCUACGCUCCAGUGACCUUUCGUGAAAUCACCCUAUAAACAGACAAAACAGCCACAAUAACUACCACAAUAACUUAAUAGUUUAUUGACAAUGUUGAAAGGGCAUAAGAUAAAUCGAGGCAAUAUGUCAUAUGAACAAUAUAUGGGUCAAGCCAAUGUUAUUUUUUAAGCCAAUUUACUAAUGAAAUUUGCUUCUUUAAUGAGCAACUUGUCCAUGUCUUUUGGGACACAUAUAAUUUAUUUUGGGUCGAACUUUAGAUAAACACUGAUUUAAUCUUCAACUGAAAGGAGACGAUUUCUGUCUUUGCUCUUGAUACUUGUUAAAUAAGGAAAAGCUUGCUCACGCAUGUAAGAGGUUGAAAACCCCAGCAAUAUGUAUUGUUUUCCUAUGAAUGGCAGGUUACUCUUUCACAGAAAUCCAGAACUUGUCCAGGGAUAGGUCAGUAAAUUUCAUCUUGAGUGUACGAUCAGACUACAGCUCACAAAGUUCUUCCUCUUCUCUUAAAGUCAAGUUCUCAGGAUGAGCAGAAGAUUCAGAGUAUGGAUGGAUCCCUCACUAAGUCAUACACGUGUUGAAAGGGAGGGAAAAUAAUGUUCGAUUUUGAUCCACAGUUCUUCCAGGUGGGCUUCAAAAAGACUUGAAAUUUACUGAUAUUCUUCUUCACUCUUAAGCCCCAUUAGUAGUUGAAACAUUUCAAGAUUUCCUUUUGCAACAUGAUUUUUCCAAAGAUUCAGUCUUUAAUCCAAGAAUUUUGUCACUUGAAGUCGAUCCAUUUUUUCCAGGGCCUAGCAGUGCCACUGACCAUUAAAGGCUGUUUCACAUUGGCACCGUAUAGAUGUCGCUAAAUAUGUUCAUAUGAUUAUUAUACUUUAAAAUUAUGUAAUAGGUUGAAGACACUUAUAAUACCCAAGAAUUUUCCAAGAAUAUGCUGUACGUGUAUAAUAAAAUUACAAAUAAGAAAUUAAACACAAAAAUGAUUCAAAUGCAU